rnacentral:misc_RNA from 1 species
AAUAUAUUUUCUAUUUUUUUUAAUUAUAGGUAUUAUUGGAUUAUAUACAUAAAAGAAGACAAAAUAAAAAUCGCAUUAAGUCAAUCUUUUAAUAUUGAGUUUUCGAGUUUUCACAUCGGUUGUGGAUGUGUGUGUACGUGAGUUUAUAAGCGUUGCCAAGACUCUACUCAAUCAGUAAUUGUCUAGGUAUGAGUGUUGAUAUAGUAAAU